rnacentral:rRNA from 1 species
UACGUAGGGUCCGAGCGUUGUCCGGAAUUAUUGGGCGUAAAGGGCUCGUAGGCGGUCCGUCACGUCGGGAGUGAAAACUCAGGGCUCAACCCUGAGCGUGCUUCCGAUACGGGCGGACUAGAGGUAUGCAGGGGAGAACGGAAUUCCUGGUGUAGCGGUGGAAUGCGCAGAUAUCAGGAGGAACACCGGUGGCGAAGGCGGAUCUCUGGGCCAUUACUGACGCUGAGGAGCGAAAGCGUGGGAGCGAACAGG